rnacentral:rRNA from 1 species
GGUUAAGCGACUAAGCGUACACGGUGGAUGCCCUGGCAGUCAGAGGCGAUGAAGGGCGUGCUAAUCUGCGAUAAGCGCCGGUAAGGUGAUAUGAACCGUUAUAACCGGCGAUACCCGAAUGGGGAAACCCAGUGUGACUCGUCACACUAUCAUUAACUGAAUCCAUAGGUUAAUGAGGCGAACCGGGGGAACUGAAACAUCUAAGUACCCCGAGGAAAAGAAAUCAACCGAGAUUCCCCCAGUAGCGGCGAGCGAACGGGGAGGAGCCCAGAGCCUGAAUCAGCAUGUGUGUUAGUGGAAGCGUCUGGAAAGGCGCGCGAUACAGGGUGACAGCCCCGUACACAAAAGCGCAUGUGCUGUGAGCUCGAUGAGUAGGGCGGGACACGUGGUAUCCUGUCUGAAUAUGGGGGGACCAUCCUCCAAGGCUAAAUACUCCUGACUGACCGAUAGUGAACCAGUACCGUGAGGGAAAGGCGAAAAGAACCCCGGCGAGGGGAGUGAAAAAGAACCUGAAACCGUGUACGUACAAGCAGUGGGAGCCCCACCACCAAAGCAUUCUCUGGUGUUGAAGGCCCUGCAAAGCAGCAUCGCGGUGGCGGAGCGUCGUUUGCGACGCCCAACACACAAAACAAGCGGUGAGUGCUUUGGGGUGGGGUGACUGCGUACCUUUUGUAUAAUGGGUCAGCGACUUAUAUUCUGUAGCAAGGUUAACCGUAUAGGGGAGCCGUAGGGAAACCGAGUCUUAACCGGGCGUUAAGUUGCAGGGUAUAGACCCGAAACCCGGUGAUCUAGCCAUGGGCAGGUUGAAGGUUGGGUAACACUAACUGGAGGACCGAACCGACUAAUGUUGAAAAAUUAGCGGAUGACUUGUGGCUGGGGGUGAAAGGCCAAUCAAACCGGGAGAUAGCUGGUUCUCCCCGAAAGCUAUUUAGGUAGCGCCUCGUGAAUUCAUCUCCGGGGGUAGAGCACUGUUUCGGCUAGGGGGUCAUCCCGACUUACCAACCCGAUGCAAACUGCGAAUACCGGAGAAUGUUAUCACGGGAGACACACGGCGGGUGCUAACGUCCGUCGUGAAGAGGGAAACAACCCAGACCGCCAGCUAAGGUCCCAAAGUCAUGGUUAAGUGGGAAACGAUGUGGGAAGGCCCAGACAGCCAGGAUGUUGGCUUAGAAGCAGCCAUCAUUUAAAGAAAGCGUAAUAGCUCACUGGUCGAGUCGGCCUGCGCGGAAGAUGUAACGGGGCUAAACCAUGCACCGAAGCUGCGGCAGCGACACUGUGUGUUGUUGGGUAGGGGAGCGUUCUGUAAGCCUGCGAAGGUGGCCUGUGAGGGUUGCUGGAGGUAUCAGAAGUGCGAAUGCUGACAUAAGUAACGAUAAAGCGGGUGAAAAGCCCGCUCGCCGGAAGACCAAGGGUUCCUGUCCAACGUUAAUCGGGGCAGGGUGAGUCGACCCCUAAGGCGAGGCCGAAAGGCGUAGUCGAUGGGAAACAGGUUAAUAUUCCUGUACUUGGUGUUACUGCGAAGGGGGGACGGAGAAGGCUAUGUUGGCCGGGCGACGGUUGUCCCGGUUUAAGCGUGUAGGUGUGUGUUCCAGGUAAAUCCGGUUCACUUUAACACUGAGGCGUGA